rnacentral:rRNA from 1 species
UACGUAGGGUGCGAGCGUUAAUCGGAAUUACUGGGCGUAAAGCGUGCGCAGGCGGUUUUGUAAGACCGAUGUGAAAUCCCCGGGCUCAACCUGGGAACUGCAUUGGUGACUGCAAGGCUGGAGUGCGGCAGAGGGGGAUGGAAUUCCGAGUGUAGCAGUGAAAUGCGUAGAUAUGCGGAGGAACACCGAUGGCGAAGGCAAUCCCCUGGGCCUGCACUGACGCUCAUGCACGAAAGCGUGGGGAGCAAACAGGA